CCUACGGGGGGCAGCAGUGGGGAAUUUUGGACAAUGGGCGCAAGCCUGAUCCAGCCAUGCCGCGUGUGGGAAGAAGGCCUUCGGGUUGUAAACCACUUUUGUCAGGGAAGAAACGGUCUGAACUAAUACUUUGGACUAAUGACGGUACCUGAAGAAUAAGCACCGGCUAACUACGUGCCAGCAGCCGCGGUAAUACGUAGGGUGCAAGCGUUAAUCGGAAUUACUGGGCGUAAAGCGUGCGCAGGCGGCUUUGCAAGACAGAUGUGAAAUCCCCGGGCUCAACCUGGGAACUGCAUUUGUGACUGCAUGGCUAGAGUACGGUAGAGGGGGAUGGAAUUCCGCGUGUAGCAGUGAAAUGCGUAGAUAUGCGGAGGAACACCGAUGGCGAAGGCAAUCCCCUGGACCUGUACUGACGCUCAUGCACGAAAGCGUGGGGAGCAAACGGGAUUAGAUACCCUGGUAGUCCACGCCCUAAACGAUGUCAACUGGUUGUUGGGAGGGUUUCUUCUCAGUAACGAAGCUAACGCGUGAAGUUGACCGCCUGGGGAGUACGGCCGCAAGGUUGAAACUCAAAGGAAUUGACGG
rnacentral:rRNA from 1 species